AUGCCAUUUAUUUCCCGCUAUACAAAUAGGCGGGGAAACGCGCGUGUGCCUGGUCAUGAAUAAAACGUUGAUUGGUUAAAAAGAAAAAGUGGGUGUGGCCACGAACAUGACGUUUAGUGUUUAUGUCGCUGGUGCUGUGGAGAGGCUGUUCAUUCACACUCACUAAAGCACACUUCAGCUUCACUGCUUAAACUCAUUGGCUUCAGGCUGUCAAGUCAAAGUUAACUUUUUUUUUCAACGUAAAGGCAAACGAAUAGCUUGUUUAGAUGUAGGAAGACUAACACAAGACGUGCUGACAAGAAAAACUUGAACGUGUCGUUAACCAGCUGAAACAACAACAACAACAACGUUUGUUUGCUUAAAAUUGAUAGACGUCGCGAAGGAACGCAAACUUUUCCUGUGCGGUCUUCAAGGAGUAAAAGUUACUCUUCAGCUGAAGUGCAGAAAAGAAAGGAACGGGAGAGAAACGGAGAAUAAUCAGUGUAUCUGUAAAAACAUCCAGUAUAGGAGAUGGAGUUCUCUCUGAUCCCAGCGCAGGAUUUGUGGGCGAUAGUAGCUGAAAAAGUGUCCUUGGAUCCAAAUUUACUGCAAAUACUAGGCAAUCCAGCAUUAUCCAGUCACCUUCAUGGACUCCCC